UACAGAGGUCUCAAGCGUUGUUCGGAUUCAUUGGGCGUAAAGGGUGUGUAGGAGGUCGGGUAAGUCAGGUGUGAAAUCUCGGAGCUUAACUCCGAAACUGCGCUUGAUACUGCUCGGCUAGAGGAUCGGAGGGGGUAACGGAAUUCAUGGUGUAGCAGUGAAAUGCGUAGAUAUCAUGAGGAACACCGGUGGCGAAGGCGGUUACCUGGAAGAUUCCUGACUCUGAAACACGAAAGCCAGGGGAGCAAACGGG
rnacentral:rRNA from 1 species